rnacentral:rRNA from 1 species
GGGUGGGGUCCGCGCAGUCCGCCCGGGGGAUUCAACUCGGCGGGUUAGGGACGGCCGCUCGGUGUGGGAGGAUCUCCUCGUGGGACCUCUCCCCGGCGCUGGCUGGCCCUCGCCGGGCGCAUUUCCUCCGAGGCGGUGCGCCGCGACCGGCUCCAGGUCGGCUUGGAAAGGCUCGGGGCGAAGGUGGCUCGCGGCCUCGGCCGUGAGCUUUACAGCGCCCCCCGCCCGGACCUCGCCGCUUCCCGGGGCCGUGGACUAAGUGCUCGCUGCGCCCUCUCUCCUGCGGGGAGGGACGGGGCCCCCUGCUCCCGGUGCGACUGUCGACCGGGGCGGACUGUCCUCAGUGCGCCCCAACCGCGUCGUGCGCCCAGGGCGGGGACCGGCUCACGUAAAAGGCGUCAGGGGUCUGCGGCGAUGUCGGCAACCCACCCGA